rnacentral:rRNA from 1 species
GACGAACGCUGGCGGCGUGCUUAACACAUGCAAGUCGAACGGAAAGGCCUCUUUCGUGGUGUACUCGAGUGGCGAACGGGUGAGUAACACGCGAGUAACUUGCCCUUGACUUUGGGAUAACUUCAGUAAACUGGGGCUAAUACCGGAUAGGUGCUCCUGCUACCCGGUGGGGGCUGGAAAGUUUCGGGGUUUUGGUGUGGCCUCGCGGGUUAUCAGCUUUGUGUUGGGAUAGUGGCUUACCAAGGCCUUGACGGGUAGCCGGUCUGUGAGAGUGAGCGGCCACAUUGGGACCGAGAUGAGGCACAGGCAGCGAAGGGAGGGAAAAGGGGGGAAUCUUGAACAAUGGGUGGCAGCCUGAUGCAGCAGCGCCGUGUGCGGGAUGACGGUCUUAGGGUUGUAAACCGCUUUCGCUCAUGACGAAGCUUUGUGUGACGGUAGUGGGUAAAGAAGCACCGGCUAACUACGUG